rnacentral:rRNA from 1 species
UACGAAGGGUGCAAACUUUGCUCGGAAUCAUUGGGCGUAAAGCGCACGUAGGCUGCCUUGUAAGUCGGAUGUGAAAUCCCACGGCUCAACCGUGGACGUGCAUUCGAAACUGCUCGGCUCGAGUAUGGAAGAGGGUCGCGGAAUUCCCGGUGUAGAGGUGAAAUUCGUAGAUAUCGGGAGGAACACCAGUGGCGAAGGCGGCGACGUGGGCCAAUACUGACGCUGAGGUGCGAAAGCGUGGGGAGCAAACAGG